GGAACUGUGGGACCAACCUUUGAGAGUGAUUCAUUCACAGCGCCAGUCAUUGGGACUAACCCAAUAUCGAUUCCCGGCAUAUCUAGCUUACCUCGGAGUGACGGACUUGCAGGACCAGCCAUCGGGACUGAUA